GGAUAACGAUCAAGUGCCUGUGGGUGAUGAGUGACCUUCCCUGUGGUGAGGAAGCCUGCAUAGUGGGCACCCAAGUGAAGGAUCCUGCUGUGUACUCAGGGGCUGGUGUUGCUGUCAGGGAUGUUAGCCUAGAGCCUCAGCUUCCUGUAAAAUGAGGAUGAUGAUAUCCAACAGCUUAUGGGACCUUGAAGUCCCAGCAUUUUUCAUCUUUCAAUCUCACCUCCUUUUCCUGAUAAUAGAGAGGCAACAAGAACUCAGGGCAUGCAAUGGGGCUCAACUUCUACUCUCUGCCACAAUUUCAUCAUGAUUCCCCCAAAGAGCAGAGCCCCAGGAGCCAGCAGGGGGCAGGGUGGGCAUUUCUGGACUGGAUUCAUUCAUAAUAAGAUCAAAAUUUCCAAUCCGUA
rnacentral:lncRNA from 1 species